UGUUAAGGCCUCCACUCUGAAUGUGCUCCAUCUCCUCUGAUCCUGGAAGCCAAGCAGAAGUGGGCCCUGGUUAGUAUCUGGAUGGGGGACUGCUUGGAAAUACAUGACGCUUUAGGCU
rnacentral:rRNA from 1 species